GGCCUUAAAAAUAAAGGUGUAGAAUGCAAUUCUACAUAAGUAGUUAAAAAUUACUAAGGCCU
rnacentral:tRNA from 1 species